rnacentral:rRNA from 1 species
GAUGAACGCUGGCGGCGUGCCUAAUACAUGCAAGUCGAGCGAACAGACGAGGAGCUUGCUCCUCUGACGUUAGCGGCGGACGGGUGAGUAACACGUGGAUAACCUACCUAUAAGACUGGGAUAACUUCGGGAAACCGGAGCUAAUACCGGAUAAUAUAUUGAACCGCAUGGUUCAAUAGUGAAAGACGGUUUUGCUGUCACUUAUAGAUGGAUCCGCGCCGCAUUAGCUAGUUGGUAAGGUAUCGGCUUACCAAGGCAACGAUGCGUAGCCGACCUGAGAGAGUGAUCGGCCACACGGGAACUGAGACACGGUCCAGACUCCUACGGGAGGCAGCAGUAGGGAAUCUUCCGCAAAGGGCGAAAGCCUGACGGAGCAACGCCGCGUGAGUGAUGAAGGUCUUCGGAUCGUAAAACUCUGUUAUUAGGGAAGAACAAAUGUGUAAGUAACUAUGCACGUCUUGACGGUACCUAAUCAGAAAGCAACGGCUAACUACGUG